AUUGAACGCUGGCGGCAUGCUUUACACAUGCAAGUCGAGCGGCAGCGCGGGGGGCAACCCUGGCGGCGAGCGGCGAACGGGUGAGUAAUGCAUCGGAACGUACCCUGGAGUGGGGGAUAACGCCGCGAAAGCGGCGCUAAUACCGCAUAUGCUCUGAGGAGGAAAGUGGGGGACCGCAAGGCCUCACGCUCUGGGAGCGGCCGAUGUCCGAUUAGCUAGUUGGUGAGGUAAAGGCUUACCAAGGCGACGAUCGGUAGCUGGUCUGAGAGGAUGAUCAGCCACACUGGGACUGAGACACGGCCCAGACUCCUACGGGAGGCAGCAGUGGGGAAUUUUGGACAAUGGGGGCAACCCUGAUCCAGCCAUGCCGCGUGAGUGAAGAAGGCCUCGG
rnacentral:rRNA from 1 species